GUGAGCGUAGCUCAGUUGGUAGAGUACAGGAUUGUGAUUCCUGUUGUCGCGGGUUCGAGCCCCGUCGUUCACCCCA
rnacentral:tRNA from 1 species